GCUUGUCAAGCAAAACUUCAAGAAUGGUGGCUAUAAAUCUAUGAGAGAGAAAUUUUCCUGUGUCCGGGUUUCCUCUAAUAUCACCAUUUGUGCUAUUAUCGGUGGGUGGGCAUUUGUGAAGAUUAAUUAGAGAUAGGUAUUGAAAGACGAAAAAGUCGAAAAUCUCAAUCUGAAGGUGAGCAGAUACAGCAGGCAAUGGUAUCAUGCUUUAUGUUUGGGUGAGUAAUGUGGGGGCAGGCAGUUGCAACUACUUGUGGAGGUGAUUACAAAGCCUGGAACAAAAAACAGUCAUUCCUUUGGAAUGGUUGAAGGGUAUUAAUUCCUUACAGGAUUCGAUUUCCCGGCAUGAGAUUAUGUACAUUUUUAUUUAUUUGUGUAUCUUAUCACCAACUAAAUGUGUGACCAUGCUCAUCAAUGUCUUGCUUCUUAAACUACUAAUUAUUAUUAUUAUUUUA